AACCCAUGGUGAGGGCACCUUUUAAAUAGAUCCUUGUAUCUCUCCCAUGCAUCAUAAAGUGUUUCUAAAUCCAUCUGGACAAAAGAAGAAGUAUCAUUCCUUAGUUU
rfam:Gossypium arboreum cultivar AKA8401 contig_21188_1, whole genome shotgun sequence.